rnacentral:rRNA from 1 species
AGGAUGAACGCUGGCGGUAUGCUUAACACAUGCAAGUCGUACGGGUGGAACUUGUUCCAUCUAGUGGCGGACGGGUGCGUAACACGUAAGAACCUACCUUUUGGAGGGGGAUAACAUUGGGAAACUGAUGCUAAUACCUCGUAAUACUGAGGAGUUAAAAGCGGGUAUCCUGCAAGGGAGCUACGCGCCAAGAGAGGGGCUUGCGGCUGAUUAGCUAGUUGGUGGGGGUAAUGGCCUCCCAAGGCCACGAUCAGUAGCUGGUCUGAGAGGACGACCAGCCACACUGGGACUGAGACACGGCCCAGACUCUUACGGGAGGCAGCAGUGAGGAAUUUUCCACAAUGGGCGAAAGCCUGAUGGAGCAAUCCCGCGUGGAGGAAGAAGGUCUGUGGAUCGUAAUCUCCUUUUCUCAGAGAAGAACAAAAUGACGGUAUCUGAGGAAUAAGCUCCGGCUAACUAUGACGCCAGCAGCCGCGGU